GGUCUGGAAAGCUGAUAGAAUUCUCUCUUGUGCUAGCUAUAGUGAAGCUAGUUAAUCUCCAUUGGCUCUUGACUUUGUUGUUUAACAGAGAAUAAUCAUCAAACAAAAUAAUAAUGUUGAAAAAGGAAAAGGAGGAAAUCCUUGACCAUUUUUAAGAUUCAAUUCAAAAUGGGGAAAAGAAAACGAUGACAUAGCAAGAAUACUUGCCCUGAUAUAGACAGUUCUUAGCUUAAUCAAUAUUAACAAUUAUCACUGAUCUCAUCAAAAUAUUUAUGUAAUUUCGUUGUUCUUCCUGGAAAGGAAGCUCGCAGCAAAGUCGCAGCUGCUGGAUUCUUUGUGGUGGUUACUGAUUUUUUAUAUGGUGAUCCAGUUGAUCUAAGCAAGCCUGAUUUUGAUAGCCACGGUGAGUUUCUAGAGCAAUGGACAUCACCAUUUGUGGGAUGUCAUAGAAGUGAAAUCCAUGAGUUGGAGAAAAAGACUAAGUGACAGUCUUCUUACAUCUGGAGGACAAAGGACAUGAAGAUGCGAAAUUAGUAAUUGCUGCUCUAAGAAGUAAAGGCAUGAAUUCCAUUGGUGCUGCAGGUUCUUGCUGGGGAGGUGAGUCAUUCUCCCCCAUAGCCACGAACUUGCUCAAGUUGGAACAAGCUCAAAUCUAAGACAGAGAAGAAUUUAACGUUUCAGAGGUGAAGAUUCCAGUUGCUUUUCUGGGAGCUGAAAUUGACCGUGCUUCCCCACCAGAACAAUUGAAAGAAUAUCUGCAAAAUCUCAGGUGAUGGGUCCUCAGUCCCAAGAUUGAUGAUUGUCCCAUAGAGGUUCUAUGGUUUAAGGAGAUAAUGUUUUUUUUGUAACUCUUUUCACCUCAUGACUUGGAAAAUAUGAUUUAGCAUUUUGGAUUAAAGUCUCUUUGAUCUUUCUAUGUCACGCCGCGACGAAAAAGCUGAAGAGGACUCUCCUGCUUCCCUUGCUGUUGAGGCUCUAAAUUUCAUGCUCACAACGCAUCAAACCUGAUUUCUAUAUUUUGCAAUUUGAUAGCCAUGUCAAAAUACUCCCUGGCGUCAGCCAUGGAUGGACAGUUCGUUACAAUGUUGAGGAUGAAACAGCUGCCGGGAGUGCUGAAGAACCUCACGGUGACAUGAUACACUGGUUUACCAGUGAAAGAACCUAUAAUAGUUAUAUGGAUGUUCAUGGAUCUCCUCCAAGUUAUAUGGAUGUUCAUGGCAUGAUUAUUCCAGUAGUCCUUGAAAAUGAUCACAUGUUGUUGGUUAACUCUAAAUAAUUAUUUCCCCUUCUCAUCUUAUGAACUCUAUUUAGAUCA